UCCCUGGUAGCUCAGAGGUUAAAGUGUCUGUCUCCAAAGCGGGAGGCCCUGGGUUCGAUCCCUGGGUCGGGAA
rnacentral:tRNA from 1 species